AAUAAUUUUAACAAAAAUUGAGGGGUAUGUGCCAUUCCUGAUGUGUUGUCCAUGUGGCACGCUGGCGGGUAAAAAAAUGAGGCAGAAAAUCUCUUGGUAGGCCCCAAAUAGCAGUGUUUUGGACUUAUUCUCCUUUCCAAGCUACUAGAACAAGUGGUGACCCAAUUGGUCUAGCUUGGAGCUCUGAGAGAAAUCUGCCUCACACACACCCAUCAAAUCUAUCAUGCUCCUUUAUCACUGUGAUAUCUGAUUCUUUAGCCUAUUCCUUUCACUCUGAUCUCCCAAUCUUGAGGUUUCUCAUGUUUGAUGAUCUGGGUAUCGAGACAUAAAUUCCUCUGAUGGGACAGUUUUAGACUUAGUAUUUGUUGCCUGUGAAAUCUUAUCAAACGACAUUGUUGACUCCUACUUUUUGGGCACUG
rnacentral:misc_RNA from 1 species